rnacentral:misc_RNA from 1 species
GCUCCGUAGGUGAACCUGCGGAGGGAUCAUUACAGAGUUCAUGCCCUACCGGGUAGAUCUCCCACCCUAUGUUAUUAUUACUUUGUUGCUUUGGCGGGCCGUUAGGCUCCGGCCCGACUACCGGCCCCGGCUGGUAAGCGCCCGCCAGAGGACCCAAAACCCCGAAUAUUAGUGUCGUCUGAGUACUAUAUAAUAGUUAAAACUUUCAACAACGGAUCUCUUGGUUCUG